CAGAAUGCCUUCUUCACUGACCCCAAUGACCAGAGUGCCUGGUUUUAUCACCGUUGGCUCCUAGGCCGAGCUGACCCCCAGGAUGCACUGCGCUGCCUACAUGUGAGCCGGGACGAGGCCUGUCUGACUGUCUCCUUCUCUCGGCCCCUCUUAGUGGGCUCCAGGACGGAGAUCUUGCUGCUCAUGGUUGAUGAUUCUCCCCUGAUUGUGGAGUGGAGGACCCCAGAUGGCAGGAACCGGCCCAGCCAUGUCUGGGUAUCCCAGGAUUGGUGGGGCAGAAGUGGGGGUCUGGGGCAGGGCUGGGUGGGACAGUCAAAAAAGUGGUUAGGCUGGGGCAUUUCCUUGACCCAGUACUCCCAGCUCUGUGACCUGCCUGCUGCCUCCCUCAACGACCAGUUGCCCCAACAUACAUUUCGCGUCAUUUGGACAGCAGGCGAUGUCCAGAAAGAAUGCGUGCUUUUAAAAGGCCGCCAGGAGGGCUGGUGCCGGGACUCCACGACGGACGAGCAGCUAUUCAGGUGUGAGCUGUCAGUGGAGAAGUCCACAGUGCUGCAGUCUGAGCUGGAAUCCUGUAAGGAGCUGCAGGAGCUGGAGCCUGAGAAUAAAUGGUGCCUGCUUACCAUCAUCCUGCUGAUGCGGGCACUGGACCCCCUGCUGUAUGAGAAGGAGACCCUGCAGUACUUCCAGACCCUCAAGGCCGUGGACCCCAUGCGGGCAGCGUAUCUGGAUGACCUGCGCAGCAAGUUCUUGCUGGAGAAUAGCGUGCUCAAGAUGGAGUAUGCUGAGGUGCGUGUGCUGCACCUGGCUCACAAGGAUCUGACAGUGCUCUGCCAUCUGGAACAGCUGCUCUUGGUCACCCAUCUUGACUUGUCACACAAUCGUCUCC
rnacentral:sRNA from 1 species